CUACGGGGGGCACCAGUGAGGAAUAUUGCACAAUGGGGGGAACCCCGAUGCAGCAACGCCGCGUGGAGGAUGACGCAUUUCGGUGUGUAAACUCCUUUUAUAUGUCAAGAAAAUGACGGUAGCAUAUGAAUAAGCACCGGCUAACUCCGUGCCAGCAGCCGCGGUAAUACGGAGGGUGCAAGCGUUACUCGGAAUCACUGGGCGUAAAGGACGCGUAGGCGGGUUGGAAAGUCAGGUGUGAAAUCCUACAGCUUAACUGUAGAACUGCACUUGAAACUUCUAAUCUAGAGUAUGGGAGGGGGAGAUGGAAUUAGUGGUGUAGGGGUAAAAUCCGUAGAUAUCACUAGGAGUACCUAAAGCGAAGGCGAUCUCCUGGAACAUUACUGACGCUAAGGCGUGAAAGCGUGGGGAGCAAACAGGAUUAGAUACCCGGGUAGUC
rnacentral:rRNA from 1 species